AUUCAUAUUGUGCAAUGUCCACUCAGUCUCAAGAGAAGCAGUUCACAUAUUCCACUGUGUAUUCUGUGAUCAAGUGACAACAGAUAAAAUCAUGUCCAUGCAAAUAUGUGAACCAGUCCUGAUAUUCUACUUUAUUGCAUAAGCAGAACAGCUUAACAAAAGGAAGUGGAAGACAUCCUCUGUUUCUGGCCAGCCACGUAUACAAAGCCACUGCCUGGACGCUGGGGAGAUACAGCUUGAAAUCUCAAGGCCUGAAAGGACUUUGGCAGAGUAAAGUAUAUGUACAGAAACAAUCCAGGUGGCUUUGACCCAUAAAGCCCUCAACAGUGUGGGAUCUACGCACUUCAGUGUUGGACAACUCAACCUUUGUUACACUACAAUCUUUUAAGGUCAACUGUGAGCACCAUCCCAACUGGAUCAUCCAUGUGUCUAGUCCAAACAGCAAAGGCACAUUAAGAGCUCUUCUCAUGGCUGCACUGCAAUUGUGCAGCUGCCUCCUCCUGAAGGUACAUCAAAGGCCAUGCCAAAAUUCCUUCCAGAAGUCCUGCGACACUUCCUGGUUUGGGGUUGGCAUGCAACCACCAGGAGGAUAAAAACAAACAUUGACAAGGAUAAAUGAUUCCACUUUCUUAA